AGAAUGUUCCUUGCUGCAGACGCAUUGGCCCCAUCUGCAGGUCCUCUUUGACACCUACCUUACUCUCUCCCUCCACUCACACUCUGAGAACUGUGCUCAGGGGCAGCGCUACAACUUCCACAUUGGUCUUUACAGGGCUUGAGUGAUUAUUUCAAGAACAGAACCCUGUGUUGAAAACUUUACCAUAUUUCGUUGCAUCUAAGACACAUUUUUUUUUUUGUAAUUUAACAUCUCUAAGGUUGGGUUAUGUUUCUUCAUCAUUGUCAGGUUGGAGUUUAAUUAGCAGCACUUUUUUUAAUGUCACACACAGUAAAGGUGAUGCAUCUCACAAUUGAGAUCAUCUUAGACAUGAUGGAAUAUGGAAUCGUGUGCCUGUUACAAGCCAGGCUCUUGUCUGGGUUCUAGAGACGGUGGAAACCAAGACAGCACCAUCCUCUAGUGGUGUUCACAUCCCACCACAGUGGAGUCAGGACUUUGAAGUCCUCCAUUGGAUCUUCUUGGAAGAUGAGGGAAAUGAGAGAGUGUGGAGAGAGAUUUUGUAAGUCGGGUCUGGAAGUGGUCAUUGUUCAGAAUCCAGCCACUUGGCUACAUGGAACUAUAAGGCACCAAAGCCAUGACUUCAAGAAGUGACAUUUUCCACUUGAGCCUCUGCAGCAGUAGCAGGCAAAUGAUGAUGGAAAUCAAGAAAGUUGUGUCCCCUGACUCAUCUCAGAGGUAGCAGGUGGGCCACGGGUCAUUCAAGAAAUGGAGGUCAUUGAGGACACCUCCCCCCCAGAUUCCUAUCACAAACCUGGCACAAUCAGAAUAUGUUCUGUGGACACUACAGAUGCAGAAUAAAUCACCUGCAAAGUGAAUCUGUCAGCCCUAACAAUAAGAAUAGCUCUUUUAUGAUGAGCAGGUGAGACCAGGUAAUUACUGAAGAAAGAGAGUGAUGUGUUCAUUGAAGUCUACUC